CAAGUCGAGCGGAUGAAGGGAGCUUGCUCCUGGAUUCAGCGGCGGACGGGUGAGUAAUGCCUAGGAAUCUGCCUGGUAGUGGGGGAUAACGUCCGGAAACGGGCGCUAAUACCGCAUACGUCCUGAGGGAGAAAGUGGGGGAUCUUCGGACCUCACGCUAUCAGAUGAGCCUAGGUCGGAUUAGCUAGUUGGUGGGGUAAAGGCCUACCAAGGCGACGAUCCGUAACUGGUCUGAGAGGAUGAUCAGUCACACUGGAACUGAGACACGGUCCAGACUCCUACGGGAGGCAGCAGUGGGGAAUAUUGGACAAUGGGCGAAAGCCUGAUCCAGCCAUGCCGCGUGUGUGAAGAAGGUCUUCGGAUUGUAAAGCACUUUAAGUUGGGAGGAAGGGCAGUAAGUUAAUACCUUGCUGUUUUGACGUUACCAACAGAAUAAGCACCGGCUAACUUCGUGCCAGCAGCCGCGGUAAUACGAAGGGUGCAAGCGUUAAUCGGAAUUACUGGGCGUAAAGCGCGCGUAGGUGGUUCAGCAAGUUGGAUGUGAAAUCCCCGGGCUCAACCUGGGAACUGCAUCCAAAACUACUGAGCUAGAGUACGGUAGAGGGUGGUGGAAUUUCCUGUGUAGCGGUGAAAUGCGUAGAUAUAGGAAGGAACACCAGUGGCGAAGGCGACCACCUGGACUGAUACUGACACUGAGGUGCGAAAGCGU
rnacentral:rRNA from 1 species